UACGUAGGAUCCGAGCGUUGUCCGGAAUCACUGGGUGUAAAGGGAGCGCAGGCGGGCUUACAAGUCGGUGGUGAAAUCUUACAGCUUAACUGUAAAACUGCCUCCGAUACUGUAGGUCUUGAGUGUGGAAGAGGGCGAUGGAAUUCAUUGUGUAGCGGUGAAAUGCGUAGAUAUCAUGAAGAACAGCGGUCGCGAAGGCGGUCGCCUGGUCCAUUACUGACGCUCAUGCUCGAAAGUGUGGGGAGCAAACAGG
rnacentral:rRNA from 1 species